GCUUUGGUCGUCCGAGUUGUAUUCUAGAGAAGCGUUUUCCGCGCUGGACCGUGUACAAGUCUCUUGGAACAGAGCGUCAUAGAGGGUGAGAAUCCCGUCUUUGACACGGACUACCAGUGCUUUGUGAUGCGCUCUCAAAGAGUCGAGUUGUUUGGGAAUGCAGCUCAAAAUGGGUGGUAAAUUCCAUCUAAAGCUAAAUAUUGGCGAGAGACCGAUAGCGAACAAGUACCGUGAGGGAAAGAUGAAAAGCACUUUGGAAAGAGAGUUAAACAGUACGUGAAAUUGCUGAAAGGGAAACGCUUGAAGUCAGUCGCGUUGGUUAGAACUCAACCAGGCUUGCUUGGUGCAUUUUCUAUUCAACGGGCCAGCAUCAGUUUUGACUGUAGGAAAAAGAUCAGAGAAAUGUGGCACCUUCGGGUGUGUUAUAGUCUUUGGUUGCAUACUAUGGUUGGGACUGAGGAUCUCAGCACGCAUCUGUUGUGCUUAGGAUGCUGGCGUAAUGGCUUUAAACGACCCGUCUUGAAACACGGACCAAGGAGUCUAACAAACCUGCGAGUGUUUGGGUGGUAAACCCGAGCGCGUAAUGAAAGUGAAAGUUGGGAUCCCUGUCGUGGGGAGCACCGACGCCCGGACCAGACCUUCUGUGACGGAUCUGCGGUAGAGCAUGUUUGUUGGGACCCGAAAGAUGGUGAACUAUGCCUGAAUAGGGUGAAGCCAGAGGAAACUCUGGUGGAGGCUCGUAGCGAUUCUGACGUGCAAAUCGAUCGUCAAAUUUGGGUAUA
rnacentral:rRNA from 1 species